rnacentral:rRNA from 1 species
GAUGAACGCUGGCGGCGUGCCUAAUACAUGCAAGUCGAGCGAACAGACGAGGAGCUUGCUCCUCUGACGUUAGCGGCGGACGGGUGAGUAACACGUGGAUAACCUACCUAUAAGACUGGGAUAACUUCGGGAAACCGGCGCUAAUACCGGAUAAUAUAUUGAACCGCAUGGUUCAAUAGUGAAAGACGGUUUUGCUGUCACUUAUAGAUGGAUCCGCGCCGCAUUAGCUAGUUGGUAAGGUAACGGCUUACCAAGGCAACGAUGCGUAGCCGACCUGAGAGGGUGAUCGGCCACACUGGAACUGAGACACGGUCCAGACUCCUACGGGAGGCAGCAGUAGGGAAUCUUCCGCAAUGGGCGAAAGCCUGACGGAGCAACGCCGCGUGAGUGAUGAAGGUCUUCGGAUCGUAAAACUCUGUUAUUAGGGAAGAACAAAUGUGUAAGUAACUAUGCACGUCUUGACGGUACCUAAUCAGAAAGCCACGGCUAACUACGUG